UGGCGGCAUGCCUAACACAUGCAAGUCGAACGGAGUCAAGAGGAGCUUGCUUUCUUGACUUAGUGGCGGACGGGUGAGUAACGCGUGAGCAAUCUGCCUCUCAGUGGGGAAUAAUGUUCUGAAAAGAGCACUAAUACCGCAUAAUGUACAGUUACCGCAUGAUAGCAGUACCAAAGAUUUAUCGCUGAGAGAUGAGCUCGCGUCCGAUUAGCCAGUUGGUGGGGUAACGGCCUACCAAAGCGACGAUCGGUAGCCGGACUGAGAGGUUGAACGGCCACAUUGGGACUGAGACACGGCCCAGACUCCUACGGGAGGCAGCAGUGGGGGAUAUUGCGCAAUGGGGGAAACCCUGACGCCAGCAAUGCCGCGUGAAGGAUGAAGGUCUUCGGAUUGUAAACUUCUUUUGUCAGGGACGAAAUCUGACGGUACCUGACGAAUAAGCUCCGGCUAACUACGUGCCAGCAGCCGC
rnacentral:rRNA from 1 species